rnacentral:rRNA from 1 species
UGGUUCUCCUCGAAAUAGCUUUAGGGCUAGCCUCAUGGAUCAUUGAUGGGGGUAGAGCACUGAAUGUGCGCGGGGGCCACAAAGCCUACCAAACGCUAUCAAACUUCGAAUACCAUACAAUGCAGACCAUGGGAGUCAGUCCGCGAGAGAUAAGUUCCGCGGGCAAAAGGGGAACACCCCAGAUCAACCGCUAAGGUCCCCAAGUUCACGUUAAGUGGAGAAGGAUGUGGAAUUGCACAGACAACCAGGAUGUUGGCUCAGAAGCAGCCACACAUUUAAAGAGUGCGUAAUAGCUCACUGGUCGAGUGAUUGUGCGCCGAAGAUGUCCGGGGCUAAACGUGACACCGAAGCGAUGGGUGCGUCUGAAAAAGAUGCGCGGUAGAGGAGCAAUGUGCAGAGGCAGAAGCCGUAUCGAGAGGCACGGUGGACACUGCACAAGAGAGAAUGCCGGUAUGAGUAGCGAGAGGCAUGCGAGAAACAUGCCCGUCGAAAGCCCAAGGUUUCCUGGGGAAGGUUCAUCCGCCCAGGGUAAGUCGGGGCCUAAGCCGAGGACGGAAGUCGUAGGCGAUGGACAGCAGGUGUAGAUUCCUGCACUACCGAUGGAAUGAAGCAGUGACACAGAAGGAUAACUCGAGCAGGGUGAUGGUCAACCCUGUGCAAGCAUCAAGGUUGGGUUGUAGUGAAGUACGCAAUCCUAUAAGCUGAGGUGUGAUGCGGACCGAAAUUUCAGUAGGGAAGCGAGUGAGUUCACGCUGGCGAGAAAAGCUGCUAGUACAUCCAAAGGUACCCGUACCGGAAACCGACGCAGGUGGGCGAGGAGAGAAUCCUGAGACGAACGGGAGAACCCUUGUUAAGGAACUCGGCAAAAUGACCCCGUAACUUCGGGAUAAGGGGUGCCUGCGAGAGCAGGCCGCAGAGAAUAGUCACAAGCGACUGUUUAGCAAAAACACAGGUAUCUGCGAAAGCGAGAGCUGACGUAUAGGUGCUGACACCUGCCCGGUGCUGGAAGGUUAAGGGAACAUGUUAGAGCAAUCGAAGCAUCGAACCGAAGCCCCAGUAAACGGCGGCCGUAACUAUAACGGUCCUAAGGUAGCGAAAUUCCUUGUCGGGUAAGUUCCGACCCGCACGAAUGGUGUAACGACUUGUGAGCUGUCUCAACAGGGGGCCCGGUGAAAUUGAAGUAUGGGUGAAGAUGCCCAUUACCCGCGACUGGACGGAGAGACCCCGUAGAGCUUUACUGCAGCCUGAUAUUGAGUUUCGGUAACUGAUGCACAGGAUAGGUGGGAGUCUGAGAGACAUGGGUUUCGGCUCAUGUGGAGACGAUGUUGGGAUACCACUCUUCGGUUACUGAAAUUCUAACAUAGCUCUGUGAAACCAGAGGAUGGACAGUGUCAGGUGGACAGUUUGACUGGGGCGGUCGCCUCCGAAAGAGUAACGGAGGCGCCCAAAGGUACCCUCAGAAUGGAUGGAAACCAUUCGAAGAGCGCAAAGGCAGAAGGGUGCCUGACUGCGAGAUUGACAAAUCGAGCAGAGACGAAAGUCGGGCUUAGUGAUCCGGCGGUAUUGAGUGGAAAAGCCGUCGCUUAACGGAUAAAAGCUACCUCGGGGAUAACAGGCUGAUC